rnacentral:rRNA from 1 species
GAGGAAUAUUGGUCAAUGGGCGCGAGCCUGAACCAGCCAAGUAGCGUGCAGGAUGACGGCCCUAUGGGUUGUAAACUGCUUUUGUAUGGGGAUAAAGUCAAUCACGUGUGAUUGUUUGCAGGUACCAUACGAAUAAGGACCGGCUAAUUCCGUGCCAGCAGCCGCGGUAAUACGGAAGGUCCGGGCGUUAUCCGGAUUUAUUGGGUUUAAAGGGAGCGUAGGCCGGAGAUUAAGUGUGUUGUGAAAUGUAGACGCUCAACGUCUGACUUGCAGCGCAUACUGGUUUUCUUGAGUACGCACAACGUUGGCGGAAUUCGUCGUGUAGCGGUGAAAUGCUUAGAUAUGACGAAGAACUCCGAUUGCGAAGGCAGCUGACGGGAGCGCAACUGACGCUUAAGCUCGAAGGUACGGGUAUCGAACAGGAUUAGAUACCCUGGUAGUCCGCACAGUAAACGAUGGAUGCCCGCUGUUGGUACCUGGUAUCAGCGGCUAAGCGAAAGCAUUAAGCAUCCCACCUGGGGAGUACGCCGGCAACGGUG